rnacentral:rRNA from 1 species
ACUCAAAUGAAUAGACGGGGGUCCGCACAAGCGGUGGAACAUGUGGUUUAAUUCGAUACUACGCGAGGAACCUUACCCAGACUUGACAUACAUUUGACCGUCAUAGAAAUAUGAUUUUUCAAGCGAAAGCUUGAACGGAUGAACAGGUGCUGCAUGGCUGUCGUCAGCUCGUGUCGUGAGAUGUUGGGUUAAGUCCUUUAACGAGCGCAACUCCUGUUGUCAGUUGCUACCCGAAAGGGGCACUCUGACGAGACUGCCUAGGAAACUAGGAGGAAGGUGGGAAUGACGUCAAGUCCUCAUGGCCCUUAUGUCUGGGGCAACACACGUGUUACAAUGGUCGGUACAGAGGGCUGCAAAACCGUAAGGUGAAGCUAAUCCCAGAAAGCCGAUCUAAGUUCGGAUUGAGGUCUGCAACUCGACCUCAUGAAGUUGAAAUCGCUAGUAAUCGCAUAUCAGAACGAUGCGGUGAAUACGUUCUCGGGCCUUGCACACACCGCCCGU